UUCUGCUGGUGUGCCCACGGUGGGCGGUCAGGUGCUUUUCUUGCCGAGUGAUUGCUCCGGCGUUGUGAGCGAGGCUUUGCGUCGAGGAAGAGCAACAGGUGCCUCGACAGUCGUGCUGAGGUGAGCAGGGGCUCAUCGCAUUCUUCCAUAUGGCGUAGACAAAUGCCACGGCGGCCCUGACUGGCUGUGAGAGCAGCGCUAACAGCAGUUGUCGCUCCUCGAAAGUGCAAAUGCAGCUGACUGGGCUGCCGCUAGGUCCGUGCAGGUUGACUUCGAGGUUUCGCUGCGCACAGUGCGCCCUCGGCACGUUCGGGGCGACGGUGCUCCGCCCCUGACACGUCGGUCAAGCGGUGGCCGUGGUUUGCAUCUUUGCGAUCUCUCGCGUUUCCUUCGCACAGGAGGUCCUUGAGCCGAGCGCGGCGGCGCGAUUUCUCGGCAGCAUUCUGCCGGUGCUGUGGGUCUGUCACCUGCACUUGUUCUCGGUAGCAACCCAAUUCCUCUGCACGACUAGGACACCUCGCAACAACGACGUUACUAACAAUGCCCGACAAGAUGUGCCACAGGAUAGCGUGCCGAUGCCCUCGCUGUCGCGAUGGGCUCUGUUUCCCCGACCGGCCAUGUGCCACUGCAUAGCCGUAAAGGACUGAGGCACAGGAUGGUGCCCCGACUGACGGGCGACAAAGUGGCUAAGGAGAGCCAGCCGCUCAAUGACCUGGCCUCCUCUACUCCCGCCCACCGCAAUGAUGUCGAGUCGGGCGGAGAGGGCGACUGGACGGCCGACGAGGAGGUGAUGGUGGUGGAUAAGGAGCCGCUGCUACCCCGGCGGCUCAGUGUGGAUGGUGCCAAGGGUGACAGGGCUGGCGCUGCUGCGGGUGACACCCCAGAGUCCAUCUGGUCGGUGGCCGUGCAGGUGUUUGUGCCAUUCCUCAUUGCUGGGUUCGGUACGGUCGGUGCUGGACUGGUGCUGGAUGUCAUCCAGCACUGGAAGGUGUUCCAGAAGGUGUCCGAGCUGUUCAUCCUUGUGCCGGCACUACUGGGGCUCAAGGGAAACCUGGAGAUGACGCUGGCCUCGCGCCUCUCCACUCAGGCAAACUUGGGGAAAAUGGACACUGCAGCCGAGCAGUGGAGGAUGGCCACGGGGAACCUAGCAUUGCUCCAGUGCCAGGCGACUGUGGUGGGCUUCCUCGCAUCGCUGUUUGCCAUGGUGAUAGGCUGGAUCCCCGAGGGGGUGUUCAGCUGGCGGCACGCACUGCUGCUGUGUGCCAGCAGCCUGCUGACGGCCAGCGUGGCCAGCCUGGUACUAGGCCUGGUGAUGAUCGGAGUGGUCAUUGCUUCGCGCAAGUGCCAUGUGAACCCGGACAAUGUGGCCACGCCCAUCGCGGCCUCGCUCGGUGACCUCACCACCCUGGCGCUACUCGCCCUGGUUGCCAGUUUCCUCUACGCCUGCCUUGAGGUGCACCAAAUGUGGCUGGUGGUUGUGGUGCUGGUGGCAGUGGCGUUGCUGCUACCCUUGUGGGGAGUGCUGGCAUGCGCCAACCCCCACACCCAGGAGGUGCUCUACACCGGGUGGACGCCCGUCAUCUCCGCCAUGGUCAUUUCCAGUGUGGGAGGCUGCAUCCUGGACUUCGCUGUCUCCCGCUUCCAUGGCAUUGCUGUCUUCCAGCCUGUCAUAAACGGCGUGGGCGGCAACCUUGUGGCAGUGCAGGCAAGCCGCAUCUCCACCUUCCUGCACCAGAGGGCGACGCUGGGGUUCCUGCCUGCUUCGGACCCAUCCGUCUGCCUUAAUCCCUUCACUGCCUUCUUCGGCAAGAGUGUGCAUGCGCGCACUGCUCGUGUGCUGCUUCUGAUGGUGGUUCCGGGACACCUGGUGUUCACGUACGGCAUCCGGCUGCUCAAGGCUGGCCACACGUCGGUCACUCCCAUCUUUCUUGUAGUCUACCUCACCGCUGCCGUGCUGCAGGUGCUGCUUCUGCUGUACAUGGCCCAUGUCAUGGUGCACUGGAUGUGGAGCCGAGCGGUGGAUCCCGACAACUCGGCCAUCCCCUACCUGACGGCCCUAGGUGACCUGGCGGGCACGGCUCUGUUGGCACUCUCCUUCCUCCUGCUGGACUCCAUCGGAGACGGUGAUUCAGACGUUGGCGACUGACGACUGCACCUUCCACUUUCCCUGCACCGUCUUCGAGGACACCUUUCCCACCCAUGCCCUCUAAUGUCUGCAGUUGUCUUCACGAUGGUCUCAGUGUCUGAGGACAGCAUAGCAGCGUGGAUAGUUGUGCUGUUUCGAAAACCUAGGCCUGUCGCAUCAACUGGCAUCGGAGGUAUGGCUCUCCUCACUGCUGUCGGCGGCUGCUGGCGAAGCAGCAGAGUCUCGAUACCACUUCCAGAGUCCCGUCACGUGAUGCUUCCAAACGGGGCUCCCUCUAAUCGUUCCAGCAUUCGAGCCGGCAUCAGCUCUAUCCCCUGCUGCAGCUUCGGCGUUCGAGGAUGUCCUAUUUGCAGUGCAGAUAAUCAUGUUGACCGGUGUUGUACGUCUGUCGUAUCGUUGGUUGUUGCUGCUGGUGAAGUUUGGUGUCGGUGCCCCUUCAGUCAACAGUUCUGACAGGUUCACCAUUGUUGGCACCAUACUGAGGUGUCAUCUCUUUGAGAUCUCUGGCUUCAUUUUUUUUUUCUUCUUUUUAAUUUUUCCUCGCAGGGCAAUGUGACAAAUGUGUGUCAAAGUUGUUGGAGGACAGUUGGUUUGUCGAAAUGCCAUGAGCUGCGACACAAGGAAAACUAUGCAUGUAAUUUUAAUGGGUUGCCCACCACCUCGCGUUGUUUCUUGUUAUAGCAUGCAGCGCAUGGAUAUCUUGAUGGUGAUGAAAAGUUUGCAAAGAACCCCAGGUGGUCAAAAUGAAUCCGAAGACCUCUCCUGCCCAAUCCUGUGUCCCUCAUAGCCUAGGUGUUAUGUUGGGACUUAAAGACAUCAAGCUGCGGCCAACAACUGCGGUUUUGGAAGAAACAGUCAACAAAGUGGCAAAAGGGGGCAAAAGUGUGUUGUGAAGUGAUACUUGCACCAUUUACUUCACAUUUUGACAAUGUCACUUAUACCUGUGAGGAGAUGCAUUACCGUAGUGACUAACAUGGUCUUUAAGAUGAACUCGGACAUGUGAGUAUACUUUGCGAUUCGGAAUGUUUCUGUGGUUGCUUUUGGUGGCACUGUAGCCAUUCUGGGAAAGUUUCUUCUCUGCGGUGCUGGUGUCAUGUGCAUGUCCUGUACGCUGCGACACCGUCAUGAUUUCUCUGGUCGCUGAUCUGUCUGUAGACACUGUGGUGCAAGGUGUCGGUGUUGCGAACUGCGGUUUGUGCCAAUCCACUGCAACUCCGGUCUUAGUGGUGACGUCGACCAGGGUGUCUCAAGAACAUAAGCGUGCCAGGAGUGUUUUGACACUUUGAAGUUGUGGCUCACCUGCUAGGUGUUAUGUAGUGAGCUCCUUGCUUUGUUCUAACCAAGCCUUGCUUGCUAGAAAGCAAGUUACUGUGUGUUUACAAAAGAGUACUUAUUGAGGCUAGUUUGUUUGCGGCUCCGGCAAGACAAACAGGGCAGUUUCCAGGGUUGGAAGAAAGCACUGUUGAAGAAAGAAGUGUCACUCUUCUUUGUAGCCUGUCCAUUGCAAUAUUUUCCUGCUGAAGCUGCUGUGUUAUUGCCUGUCAUUACGCUUGGGGUAAUGUGCACUUGGACAGUUUGGAAGAACAACAGAGUAAUAUUGACUAAAACUACUGAGUCUCUGUGUACACAGUAUCACUGAUGCAACCUACAACUUUCACUGAUACCUUGAGCAAUGUUACAUUUGCCACUCUUUUUUGCGUGUGAGCUGAAAUGUAUCAUCGGGCAGGAUUUCAACUGAAUUGGAUUUUUUUUUUCCCCCGUGACCACUCUGUAUACAAAGUUCAUAUGUGAACAAACCAGCAUUUUAGACAGAUUACAUGAAAAGGUUUUGCCUUUUAUUGCUGCCUUGCCAGGUUCGUGCAUCACAGGAAGAGCUACAGGUCACUUUAGCCAGCCAGGAACAAGAUACAAAAAAAAGGUCAUUGCCUUUCACUAGUCCCUUCACGCACUCAUCGCUAGCCAAAUAGAAUGGGUCAAUGGCUCACACUUAGCAGUCUGUCUUCCUCUCUCUGUGACGCAUAGCCAGUUCUCACUACUGGUUGAAACGACCCACAUAGUUUUUUGCCGUACAGCAGUUGGUGAGACAGAGUGCAGUUAUUUGACCUAGCAUUGCCUUGAAAGCUCAUAAUGUGAAGAGGGCUCCGACAUGUAGUCUAAAUUGCAUUUAGUACAGUACGGUAGCCCAACCAUUUGGGCAAACAAAUUGUGACAUAGCAAAAGGUUGUGUUUUACGCAGGCCUUUUAUAUAAUCGGGAUCGGUAUGCUGCAAGCUGCGAACCCCUAAUACCGUUUGUUGUGUUGGUAAGAGAGCCCAGCAUAAGUAGCUGCUUUGGCUAAACCAUUGCCUUGUUGGUGCUCAAGCCUCGCAGAAAGGCAGCAUUUCACACUGAAUUUUGCAUGCUACCUUGCUCAGAUGGAGCAUUUGCCUGCUUUGUCCAGGAAAAAUUAGCACGGAUUGUCUGUGGUACUGCCAGAAAAAAAAAAUGGGCAAAGUUCCUCAGUGAAUCCAACAGCAGCGCCAUCUGUCCUAGGAGUGUAAUGUAAAGCACGGACUAUGGAGAGAUGACAGUGUUGAGGACUGUGAGGCAUAACAUAUACCUGUGCUAAAGUCGGACAUUGCACAGCAAGGUUUGCACGGGACCAAUGCAAAACUUCCUUAACCUUGCCACUAUGGUCCUGUAUGACUCUUGACAUGUCCCUUAAGAUGUUUAGCUUCAGAAAUAUGUACCACAAUACUCGGGAACAACUAGCCCAGUCUCUGUACUACUGCAGUAGAACCUCGUUAAUACGAUCCCGUUAGGUACGAUUUCCCGGCGCUGACAUUGACAAUUGAGAACACAAAAAAUGACCCAAUACAGUUACGCUUAUUUUUUACCUAUUCAUACGUUCCCGGAAAACACCAUCUUUUGGCACGAACGUUCAGUAAAUCUUCUAACUGCGAUCGUAUGAUACGUUUUCUGGCUGCUAGUUCCCAUAUAAACAAGAAAAGGCGGAAGGCACACGCGAUUGGGAACAGUAGCUGCCCACCGCAUCAGCAUUGCCACUAUACUUACCGACCCAUCUCACGUGAAAGCGCUGGUGCGCACUAAGUUUCUUAUUCCGGUACCAGCAAAUGUCCUCCCGGGUCGUCGCACACCGCUUUCACAGCUAUUGCCACCAACCCUAUUGUGAUAACCAUCUUCGCUUAACUGUUUCACUACACGUGGGCCUUGGGUGCCGUUGGAAGCAUACUGCCUGCUUCUAAAAGGCGAUAACCUGAACACACCACCAUUCCCUGCUGCGGGAGGCACACAGUGAGCAUCAUGUUUCACUCUGGUGGGAUCGUAGGCAUCGUAUUCGGGUGUCGCCCACUAGCUCGGUUUCGUGUGGGUUUCCCAUCGCUGUCUUAAAACACUACACAAUAGCAAAACGACAAUGUGCACUUGCGUUCUACCAGCCCGACGCACAUCGGCAUCUCUUAGUGCAAUGAUUCGCGCUGAGUGGGCACUUCCCACCGAAAUUCUCCGCUUAAUGAAGCUGCUCACCCAGACUGAAUUCAAGAAGCACAAACAUAAACUUGCCGAAGCCCUAAAACGACAACGCACGUCGGCAUCUCGUGCUGCAAUGACUUGCGCAGCACUUCGCUUUAUGUAAGGUGUCAACUACAGUGAGUCUCUCAGUUUUUUUUAGUGACUUCUGAUCGUUUCUUUCCGCAGUUAGUAUGUUUUCUUCUCACAUUUUUUUCCGAAACGUAUAAACAAGGUUCUACUGUACCUCCCAGCAAAGUAAUAAACAAAAUGUGUCACGAAAUCACACCUGCCAGUCGUUUGGCCACAAGAGCCAUUUGUUCUGUAGUGGACUACCUUAUCGAAACAACAUUCUGUAGAAUGUACUGGCAGCAGCAAAACCUACUUACUAGAAUGAAAUGUGACAGAGUGCUGUUUUUUUUUUUUUUUUUUUUUUUUUUUACACUUUGCGAGUCAGGGGAAAAUGCGCUGUCAAGGGGAAAAGCAGCCUUGGUAACAUUUUGCGACUGGCGGCUGUCAGGUGUGUUGCAGUUACGAGACAAAUGCGGCAGCCAUUCCUGCCGGCUUGUCAGAAAAGUGCUUGCCACAGCAAGGAACUUGUACAAAGCCAUGAACAGCUGCGCGGGUUGUUCUGAUGUUGCACUUGGCUAAAAACGUAGCAUGGCCCUUGCAUCGUGCGGUAACUUCUAAUAUAUAGCACUGGACCGCUGCCCAAAAAAAUGUGAGGUCACGGCCGGUUGAGCAAAAUUUGGUUGCCACAGCUGUCGGUAGUGCAACAAAAAUACCACUUCGAUCAAGCGUGUUGGUAGCACUGAUCCAUUUUUGCAGUUUUGCACACAGCUACACACUAAUGACCCAUCACUUCAGUCAUUUGACUUUUUGCAUGAAACUGCGAAAGUGGACCUCCAGCCUAAAAACCGUGCACACAUUGCACAGAAGGGGUCACCUGCAGUCAUGAUUGUGUUUCAAUUGUUUGGCUGAUUUUACAGGUGUGAGUAAAGUUGGAGAGGAUGAAACCAGUGCGUGGACAAGUCAUUUGCUAUCAAAGCAUUUGUAGUAGCUUCACUUUAGGAUGGGGGUCCCCACAGACUACUCUUUAUUAAUAGAUAUCUGCAUUAAGCAUCGCGGCAAUGCACUUUCUCCCAUAAAGUAGCAUAUUUGCCAACUCUUUCAAAUUUUCUGUAAAUUUUGCAAAUGUGGGUUCGUACAAUUUUACAGAUUUUGUAUAGUCUUACGAAAAAUAAAUUCUGGUUGCGAAUAAGUUUCGCUCGACGGUCUCCGACCCUAUCGGUGGAAGUCUUCUGGUGGUGAAAGCAUGUCAUCGUGGUACUUGCUCCAAGCUAGUUUGUUACAGCCGAAAUUACCAGCAGCAAUGUUGCUAAAAAAGUCACAGUUAUCUAAGAACGGUGCAUUGCAUGUCAGUCUCUGCUCUUUGAAAUUUGCUGCUGCUUGCGUGGUGCCUCUGAAGCUAAAUCAUCAUCAACAAGGUUCAUACGUAUCCCACAAGAGGCACAUGCUCAGGGCAAGCUAUGAAAAAAAAAAGAAAGAGAACCGUGCUAUCCCUGCUCUCUACCAACCAUCAGUGUUGCGUCUACGUGAUUUUUACAAAUUUUAAUGUUCACAGGUUUGCAGGUGUUAAGUAGGAAAAUGCCACCCUUGUAUUGAACAACCCCUGUGCUAGAACUACGGUGUUGCGACUAAAGGGCAAAGUGAUGGCACCAGACUGCUCAAAGUGACACGAGUUUUAGGUUCAGCUUCAACUCGGCCAAGAAGUAGCUGGAGCACAACUUUGCAAUAUCAUGAAGUUGCAUGUGACACGCUCCUGCACUGGUCUUAAGCUGCGGCAUUCAGCAAGUGUUUUCACCCUGCGUUUCCUUGUGUACUUGGCAAGAGUACUUGGCAUAACAAAGAAAAGCAUGAUUCUGAACACGAAGAUGGAUUGGGAUGAGAAAUGUGGUGACUAGUGCUCAAGAAGCUGCGUUCUGGAUCUUGUACUUGGGCUUCUUUUUUAAUUUAUUUUUUUGCUCGUGCCAAUGUGAAUAACUGCGGUCAGGAACACGUACUCUUUGGACUGCUGCAUGCUUCAUCAUGGCUUGCGGUGAAAUUGAGGUGGCGGUGCUUUCUUGUUAUAUUGAACUCUUAAAUUGGCCUCGAGGCUAAUUCUUUCACGCACUUAUUUUAUUUUAAAAUUUCUUGCAGGCGCAGGGGGUGAAGGAGUGCACAUUUGUGAAGAAUUUUGACAUGGGUUUUUGAAAUAUCAUUUUAAGUGCAGCCUGACACGAUGGCAUGCUUUUUUUAAAAAAUGUUUGGCAACACAAAUGUUCGAAGAAUGCCUGCCACGUUUGUUCAUCAGUUUGAGUCCUGUUUGAGUGCUAAACUGUUGACACUUGGAGAUGAUUUUUAUAUGCUGUUUUUGUUCUUGUGCUGUGAAUAUUUUAUCAACAUGGAGCAUGUUUACACUAACUUAUUGUAGCUUGUUCAGUGCUGAUUGUAUGCACCUGUUGAUAUUUUGCGCACUACUGCUGUAUUUGUGUGAGUGUCUUACCUGCCUAUGUGAGAAUUUCACCCUUGUAAAUUGCCCAGAAAACGAGUAGCAGCUGCAUCACAUUGUCGUCGACCUAUAAAACCAUGGGUUUCUGCGCAGGCUCUUUUUUUGUGGCUGUCAUGCCAUCUUUAUAAAUGUGAGAACCUGUCUACCUUUCUUGAACCAUUUUUGUUUUUCUUAGCGUGGCAUUAGCUCACUUCUUAAAACUGUGUGUUUGUGGUGAGGGAGCAGCGCUCAAGGGUGUUACUGCUUAAACAGAUUUGUUUCGAGUUGUGACUUGAGUGCUCAAGGCUACGUGCGCGGUUCAGUGCUACAGAUUUCUGAUCUGUUAACGACGCUGGAGUGCAUGUCCUGUAGCGCUGCCUGUGUCUUUGACUGACCACUGCCUUGCAUUGUCAAGAUUAUGCACUGCAAACACAUUUUGAGACUGCAGAUGUCUACUGUCUGUUUCCUCACUUUUCUUUUUUAUGAAAGAAAAUGAGGCAAAUUUAGUUACAACGAUAACCACAGUUUUUCAUGUGGCAAUUGCAGAAAAGAAUAGUAAGAAAGAAACCUCACAAAGUGAGUAAAAAAUAAAAGCAAGAAAGCAGGUGAAACUGCACCCGAGGUCCUGGUGUGGUCUGUGAUGUACAGGUCUACCGCUUAUCUUUGUCCCUUUCCUCUCUUCUCUGUUGGCCAAUGUUCAGGUUUCAACCUAAAGGUUUGACAGUUACGAUGUAGUCACCAGUUCCUUCCUUCGUGCCUUUCCUCCUCCCCCAUCAAAAAGAAAUGCUGCUACUAUCAUUCUACUGGCAAGUGUGAGAAUGUUGCAUUUUGCUCAUUGCAGUGGCAAUGUACGUCACAACUUCAGAUGCAUACCAUUUAUGUGCUGGGAAGAGAUGUGCUUAGUCAACGAUAAUGCACUGGUGCAUAAUCUUUGUUCAAGUGCGCCAUGCUAUGUGCCCAGCAGUACAGCAUCUAAGUGUGAGUGUGCUUGAGUGCGCAAAAACAAAUUCCUGACAGAGGCGGUUCAGCUGAAAGCACAGAAUGUUGACAACAGUUCAAGCUCUCUGCCCAAGCAUAUUAUGGCGAAUAGUUCCUCGAUUGCUGACAGAACAAGUCGCAUACGGCUCAUAGACUCUCGCAGACAUUGCCCCACAACAGAGGCAACGCAGCUGUAUUUGAAGCAAGAACAGUGUGUCUCAAAAGUUUGUCAGCGUAUCAAAUUAUGUGGUCAGAGUGCUGCGCAAGGGCCCUGCGGUUUUGCCUCCGGGGUUUAUUUCUCUGUCUGUAGCAACGUCCAUUGGUGUUAAUUAAUGUCACUGUAGUAGCAUUAUACUUGAAAGAGAGUAGAAGUGCUCAGAGAUUGCAAAUAUUUGGCUGCUUAUAGGUGCAGUGAGGCCACAGUGCUUUCCGGACUAGUGUUAGUGCUCAACUAUACGGUUGGGAAUACCAUGGUGCAAGACAAAAUGGCAUAGAUUUUGUCUCAGCCUUGCGGAGCUUGUACUGUGCCUCCACUAACUACAACAUGGCGUGUUCUGGGGUGUAUGAAAUAAGUUCUUUGGCUUGCUGCAUAAGACUCCUACCAGCUAGACAGACACCUAAAGCUUGCAAAUGAGGACCUAUUUGGAGACUUGAGUUUAGUUUUCCAAAAAUAACCAUCAUGGUACUGUAAGGUCUAUCUGAAACAAAAGGCCUGUGCAACUCAUCAGUCAAUUUAGUAUCACGAGACAGUCUUCUGAUAUGAAAUUCUGUUUGCUACCAGAAGACAGUGGCAUAGACACUUUCAUGUGCUCUGUAUUUGCAAACUUGCCAGCAUGUAUGGUAGUCAUUGCAUGUCAAUCAAUACCCAUGUCACUAUAUCAUAGAAUUGGAGGCACCUUUUGCAUCUCUGGACACAGGCACUCUUUGGUCAGGCCAGCCCUUGUGCCAUUAAACCGCAUGCAUCGUCAUCUCUUGGAUGCUCACUGUAUUACAAUAACCUAAUGCGAUUGGCAUUCGUGGCUGUUUCCAUUAACUACUGUGAAAGCAAGCCAUUGCACCAUAGUGCAGUUAUAGAUGGCAUGGCAUGGUUAGGCAAGCUGUUUAUCAUUGUACUUUAAACAGUAGUUUCACAACUUUUGUCUCCAGAGUGCCUCUCGUUCGAGAGUGCUGCAUGCUGGUAUUUAGGUAUUGUGCUCACUACUGCAAGAUGGCAGGUUACAGAGACCAUUUCUGUAUAUCUUCGCUGCUUACGUUUUAUGCAAACCAUUUUCUUAGCCAAUCACCAUUGUGGGCAUUGUCUAGUUUUGGGGUUGGCUGUGUUCGAGGAUUUCCAAGUCUUCGUAGAGCCGGUGCAUUAGCCAACAUAGCAGCCUUCCUGUAUGUGUUUGUGUGAAGUGGCAAGGCCAUCGACAAACAAGCAAUUUCGCAAAAUAGUGACCUUGUGCUGCUUUUUAUGUUUAGUGAGCAGCUCUUAACACAUUUUAAAGUAAUGCGUUCAGUCUCAAAUCAUCAGCUAUUGCUGGUAUACAUUUUCUUUUUUUUUUCAAGGUUUUUAUUUUAUGUCUUGCAAAACGACUCAACUCUGUCAUGUCUUUUUAAGCACACACACUAUGGCUAAACUCUGGUUUCGUGUUUACAACAAUGCUUAGCUCUUUUUUACAAAAGGAAUAUUUGUCUUCAUUCAAAUACAAUGUCUCCCUCUCUAAAUAGCCUCGAGCAUCGUGGUACGGAAAAUACAUUAGCAGCAUUGAUGUAGUGGCACAGAUGUGCAUUCAUCUUAAAAUUUGUUUUCCUUCGUUUGUAUUCAUCACCAAACAAAAUGGAACAAGUUUCUUACAAAGUUUGCAUGACCAAAGGCUAUGUAAGGAUCAGGUACAGCAGGUUCUGUGAGCUAGUGUAGGGACCCGUUUGUACACAUUGAAAGGUCGACAGUGAAUGAAUCAUUCUUUGGAACACGCGCACUUGUACACCCUGUUUUAAUGUAAUCCAGUGCUUGAGAUGUUGUUACGUGAAGCUGCGUGUUCUGGCACCUGUGUUCUAACGUUUCUGUCCUGGAUUAAUGUUGCCACAUGUGUUGUCCCCCCUCGUCUCGUCCCAUUGACCACUUUCUUUUUUGUUUCCCUGCCUAGUCAAUAUAGGCAUGUUGCCAUGCCACCUGUGUUCCUGUACUUGAACAGCAGAUUCAAAAAUAUUUUUAUACUGUUGUUGUUGAGGCCGUGUAUUUUUGUAUCCUUUUGAAAUGGACUGUUUGAAGCCAUGUUGAAAACAUUCCCGGCAGGGUGAUGCCGAAGCCACUGUGUCCCAAACCUGUCGCUGCCUGCAUUUUCAUGCCCGUCGUGACAUGCUUUCCGCCCUGUAGUGUCUCGUGUGAACUUGCAUGAGCAGUUCCGUAGUAAAUGUUCUUGUUCACUCGA